AAGUCGUAACAAGGUUUCCGUAGGUGAACCUGCGGAAGGAUCAUUAACACGUAUCCAACGUUAAACAACCCUGUGAACCUUGAACGUGCUCUCGCACACGCUCUAGCAGCAAUCCCUGGUAAAUCAUUGUUGACCAGCUAUUGAGUCAGGGACCUCUGCUUUAAAACGAUGCGAUACGAGCGCCAGAGUAAGUGCGGCCUGGCAUCCUAGCAAUCUAUCAGUGGUUGCGCAAGGAUGGCGCAGUAAACGAUCGCUGGAGGCCCACACGGCCGGCGACCGGGCCUCUGUGCUUCGGCACCUAACGACCCCAUGUUUCGUACCCGGUGCGCUGUAACAACCGCACCACAAACUCGAACAACUGUUAACAAUGGAUAUCUUGGUUCUC
rnacentral:misc_RNA from 1 species